rnacentral:rRNA from 1 species
GAUGAACGCUGGCGGCGUGCCUAAUACAUGCAAGUCGAGCGAACAGACGAGGAUCUUGCUCCUCGGACGUUAGCGGCGGACGGGUGAGGAACACGUGGAUAACCUACCUAUAAGACUGGGAUAACUUCGUGAAACCGGAGCUAAUACCGGAUAAUAUAUUUAACCGCAUGGUUCAAUAGUGAAAGACGGUUUUGCUGUCACGUAUAGAUGGAUCCGCGCCGCAUUAGCUAGUUUGUAAGGUAACGGCUUACCAAGGCAACGAUGCGUAGCCGACCUGAGAGGGAGAACGGCCACACUGGAACUGAGACACGGUCCAGACUCCUACGGGAGGACGCAGUAGGGAAUCUUACGCAAUGGGCGAAAGCCUGACGGAGCAACGCCGCGUGAGUGCUGAAGGUCUUCGGAUCGUAAAACUCUGUUAUUAGGGAAGAACAAAUGUGUAAGUAACUAUGCACGUAUUGACGGUACCUAAUCAGAAAGCCACGGCUAACUACGUG